UACGUAGGGUGCGAGCGUUGUCCGGAAUUAUUGGGCGUAAAGAGCUCGUAGGCGGUCUGUCGCGUCGAUCGUGAAAACUUGGGGCUUAACCCUGAGCUUGCGGUCGAUACGGGCAUGACUGGAGUUCGGCAGGGGAGACUGGAAUUCCUGGUGUAGCGGUGAAAUGCGCAGAUAUCAGGAGGAACACCGGUGGCGAAGGCGGGUCUCUGGGCCGAAACUGACGCUGAGGAAGCGAAAGCGUGGGGAGCAAACAGG
rnacentral:rRNA from 1 species